UCAAAGAUGUGCAAGUUAUCCGCCACUGUACAAGAAAAACCCUGCUUCUCCUCCACACCGUGCACGUUGAUGUCAUUGCAACAGGAAGCGAAGGCCGCGCCUCCUCAGCCGCAAGUCGGCAUUCACGCAGACUGCCAGUGCAGACAUGAAUCGUGUGCUCGUGUGCGUGCUGACGGCUGCUUUGAGUCUCGGAAACGGUCAGCAAACGGUGCACCAGCCGGCGGGCGAUGUCCACGCUGUGGAGGGCGCAACGGUGACGCUGGACUGCAGCUUCGGCAGUACACGGAGCAACGACUUCAUCUUCUGGUACAAACAGCAAGUGAACGCAGCACCCGAGUUUGUUCUGAGCAACUCAACGUUCAGUCGGGGCAAGACGGAGAAGAAGUACGCCGACAGGUUUCGCGCCAGCAUGGACGCCAGCGCCCUGCAAGCUCCUCUGCAUAUCGAGAGCGUGAAGCUGAGCGACUCGGCAGUCUACUACUGCGCCCUGCAGCCCACGCUGACACAUCCGCUGACGUGCCUACACAAAAACACCUGCACGCGCCUCGUGCCACCAUACGUUGGGGGUGUGGAGCGAACGGCUUGAUUUUUCACCAUUUUGAACCCUCAUUUUAUAUCCCUUCAUUUUUUUUUAAUCAUUCAAAUUUUGAAUGGUUGUUAACAAUUUUCUAUUUGGUGUGUUGAAUUUCAAAGAAAUAUUUUGUUUAUAUGUUGCCAAUAAAAGGAAUGAGAUCCACUCACAGAAAUGCACAAUCUUUCACACCAUCACUGAACCCGAGUUAAUGAUUAUUUGCUAAAAACAAUCAAUUCAUUGGAAUUGGGGUUGUACAUCCGGUCCCAGUAAGCUUUGAAGACAGAAACCAUAGCUGCUGUCAUUUGUGACGCAGGUGCCAUGGCGACCACUUCCUGUGGAAAGAGUCGCGAUUAGGUUGCAUAACUAUUUGGUGGUUCACCACUGAUUUUGCUUUGAUUAUUGUGCACGUGUAACGGUGUCAUUCACUUGAAUGUUUCCAUGUGACUUGGCUGCUCGGUGUGAGGGCCAAUACACAACUCUUUGCAAUCUUCAUGAACUGUCGCGUCACUUGCACUUAGUUUCUACAAGUGUCUGUUUCUCCCCCAUCCAACUUUGUUCCGUCAGUCUGCAAUAGGGUGGAGUUUGAGUCACGUGACGACAUUGUGAGGUAAGAGCUCGAGUGCAGAAGAGAAGAGCGGAGUUGACAGAAAUUCAUUCAGCAUGUUGCUGUGUGCUUGGUCGCUGCUCGUCAUCACUGUGGCAGGCGCCAGCGGUGACCAGCUCGAGGCAGUCACGGGCGAAGUGUUGGCGUCAGAAGGCAAACAGCGCCACACUUGCUGCUUUCACACUUGGGAACCGGCAGCCCGUUAAGCGCCAAGCCAGGAAUGUCGGCGAGCGUGGGAAGUGACAGGAGACGAGUGCUCCUGCACAUCGAGGAUGUGACAUUUGAGCACUCUGC